CAACGCCGCGUGGAGGAUGAAGGCCUUCGGUCGUAACUCCUUUUUCAGGGACGAGCAAGGACGGUACCUGGAGAAUAAGUCACGGCUAACUACGUGC
rnacentral:rRNA from 1 species